GCAAAAGUUGUGGCCUGUCCAUCAGGAGUUAGCGACAGGGAGGGCCGCGGGCUUGGCUGUAGUUGGGGGGGAGGAAGUGGCCAGCUCAGGGCCUCAGGGGGCAGAUGGGGGAGAUGACAGGCUUAGAUGAGACUCGAGGGGGUUGGGGUGUGAGACUAAGAAAGGUUAAAGAGGAAACGAGAUCUUGGGGAACGUAUGGUGGGGAGAGCUGCGUUGAAGGUCCCCGCAGUGACCCAGGGGAGGACAGCCCUUUAGCCCUGGCUGUCGCUUCCUUCUGGAGAACGGGAACUUGGCCUCUAGGAGGGCACCGCUCCUGCGUGGGCCGAGCGAGCCCCGUGCCCUGGUUUGUGUGGGAGGAGGAGAGAAGUUAGAAGCAGGAGGAGAACAGGAUCUCAACGCCCUUACUGGAGAGGAAGCGGAAUUGGGCAUUUGGCUCCCUGAGCAUGAUCAGGAAGGAAGGCAGUGGGGUGCAGGGCCCCAGGAGGGCUGGGAGGGCAGACCUCGAACUCGUCAAUGUCAGCAGCCCCCUUUUUUUUCAGAGGGUUGUGAACCCGCGUGGGGAUGAGGCCUGGUCUUGUGGAUACUGAACUUAGCUUCGCGGGCCUGACAGCUCUGGCCCAGGGUGGUAUGUAAUUUUGGUUCGGCCUGGGACAGGGUCCAGGCCAUGCCCAGCCUGGUGAACCCCAGUCCUGGGUCACACACCAGUCCUGGGUGUGAGGUCAGACCCUUUGUCGGAGGUAAGGGUGGUCUCAGGAGUGAGUGAGGUAGGGUGCGAGGUAGGGUGCCAUCAAAGCGGUUACUGGUGUGGCGCCUGACGCCUGACAGGCUGGGGCUGCUGAGGCAGGAUAUUUGUGUGUGUGGGGACAAAAUUGACCCAAGCUUUAUUUUCCAGGUGGCAGUGCUCCCCUUUGGACUUUUCCUCUAGGUUCCGUGCUAACUUCUUCUGUGAGCUCACUCUGCCCUUCCUCCUCCCUUUAACUCUCUUGAGGUUAUCCAUUCGUUUAAAACAUUGCUUCUGGUAACCUGGUAAGCCUGGGAAAGUUGGCAACGGCCUUGAGAAGUUCGGUUAUGUCGGUAAUCGUGGAGGAGGAGAGGCACGCCCUGCUGAGACUCGGGGUGGGGUGGGGUGGUCUUGCUUGCCUGCGGAGAGGGUGGGGACUGAAUGUGUACCCUUGGGUGGGCCUGCAGCGACGGCACCAGCUGAAAGUUACGAAAUGCCUCAUGGACCAUGGUUUGUUACUAUAGUGUUCAUCGUGGUGAUCAGAUGGCACCAGGAGAAAUGGAGCCCAUGGCCAGUGUGAGUCGUAGCAGUGCAGGAGGGGAGACCCUGAAGGAGAGAGCCCGCCUAAGUUGAUGUCUGCAGAUUGAAUUUCCAGAGGCUUAGGAGGUGGAAGUUUCUCCAGUGUCCUGUUUCCAGGCCUUGCUCAGGAAGCCCUGUAUUCAGGCAGCCACCAUUUAAGGUUUUCAGAUGAGCUCAUGAGGGGGCAAUCAUUCAAAGUCCAAAGCAGAUGCAUCGGGCCAUCAGCAGAUCUGUUGCUUUGAAUGUUUGAUCCCGGAGCACCAACCAACCCCCAGGCACCCCUCCUUCUCUGGGGCGGAGGUUUUCAGAUGCUGCGUCUUCUAAAUUGAGCCUUCGGUCUUUGCUAGUUCUGUGCUACGAACAUGGCUUCAAGAAGAUUCUUAAGCUGUAGGACGUUCUAACGUGCCACAACGCAGAGUCAUGCCUUGUAGAUGAAUCUUGCAGAUGGAGCCCAGUGACUCGUUCACCUACCCACGCGCCUGCCUGCCUGCACGUUGGUUGGAGGAAUUAGUGUGAUGGUCUAACCUGUGUCUGGGGAAAGUGUUCACAUUUGAAAUGCCUUGAGCAAAUACUUCAAUGAAGCCUACUGGCAAACUGAAGGGGGUNNNNNNNNNNNNNNNNNNNNNNNNNNNNNNNNNNNNNNGUCGUGUUAUGCUACAGUCCAGGGGUGGGUACAAGUUGGUUGUGGCCAAAUUCUGUUAGAAAUGGCAGGUCUUUGGGCAUUCUGACUGCAUCACAGAUGACUAAGUGAGGGAAAUGGUUGG
rnacentral:lncRNA from 1 species